UACGUAGGUGACAAGCGUUGUCCGGAUUUACUGGGCGUAAAGCGCGCGCAGGCGGCGGUGCUGGCCCGGCGUGAAAGCCCCCGGCUCAACCGGGGAGGGUCGUCGGGGACCGCACCGCUUGAGGGCGGUAGGGGCUGGUGGAAUGCCUGGUGUAGUGGUGAAAUGCGUAGAGAUCAGGCGGAACACCCGUGGCGAAGGCGACCAGCUGGGCCGUCCCUGACGCUGAGGAACGAAAGCGUGGGGAGCGAACAGG
rnacentral:rRNA from 1 species